UCUCUGUUUGAGAUGAAUAAUAGGUUGAAUAUGGUAUGUGGCGGCUCUGUAGGCUCGGAAGAUACAACAUGAACAUUGCUCUGGAAAGGUGGUGUAACGGCGCUACUGAGGACUUAGAAGCAUCUCCUCUACCAGACAGGAACAGAAAACACACUGCAUGAGAGAACCUGCCUUUGAGGAUGUAUUCCCUCAGCUAGCAGAUAUGGCUGUGAGAGAUCAGAGUGGCAGCCCCGCAGCUGUGUGUGGAGUGUGACAGACUCAGCAGCUCACCAGCAGCCUGGCAGGGACUGGUUUCAGUGGCAAACUGCUGGACUGUGGCAUGAGCUGCUGCUUUGAGCUGACAGCUGCUCCUGUCUGUGAGAGAGCACAUGGCCUGUGCCCUGCCAGGAAAACCUCCUGCUUCAGAGCACUUGAGGUACUGAUACCAUCAGAGCUGAACUGAAGAGGAUCCUGCUCUGUCUGUGCCGGUGCGUGGCCAGAGGACAGGGCUGAUGGUAGGGAAGUGGCACUCUGCUGACAGCCCCAGCUCACACAGCCUCUGGCCAUCUGACAAUGCAGCCUAAAGGCAAACUAGGAGCCAAAUGGCAGCUCAAGGACAAGGAAAUCUGUGGUUCCAUCCCCUGCUCCAUGCUCUGGUGCUGUGACUUUCUCCUCAGCAGUUUUAUGGACAGUGCGUUGUGAGAUCUGACGUUUGUAGCCCUUAAUCUUGGUUCUGUUUGCUGUGUAAACCCUUUCACCCCACAUGCAUUUUUUAUGGAUGGAUUGCAGCAGCAGGAACAGAGCCCAUAGCUCCAAGAGGCCCCGUGCAGAGCACAGGGUGAUGGUGGUGAGGUGGAUGUGUGUGCACUGGAGGGGUGCAGGCAGCCCGUGCCCCUGGCCUGGUGCUGGGGAGCAGAGCAUGGAUGUGCUGGGAGCCAGGGAGCAAUCUCCUAUGAGCUGCAGACAGCCGGGGAGUGGUGCACCCGAGCCCUGGGCUGGAAACGUGCUGUAAAGGAGGUGGUUUAUGGAGCCCUUCAUGGCAAUCACUCCUGGUUCUGUUGCUUGAGGGCAUUGAUUGCCACUUUGGAUGGUCCAAACCCUGACUUAUUUCCCUUUUCAACAAAAUAAACCCCGAAUAUUCAUUGCUGAGAAGUGAUAAAUAAAUCUGUCCUCACACGCAGGAGCUUUGCCAGCUGGGUUUUGGCUGGAUGGGAGUCUGUUUGUGAAAGCUUUCAAGGGUUUUUGAAACUAAUCUGUUUUGAAUCAUUAAACAAACAAAGUGAUCUGGUCUUCUGGAAUAAACAGUAAUCACUUGGAAGUGAAAUCUGAACUUCUUGCUUGGCAAAAGGAUUUCCAGCACUUCUCCCUCUUGCUCCCUUUUCCCUUUGUGUUGAUGUUUGUUC